GUGAAUAAUAUGGAUAGUAUUGUUUUGUCGUUAAAUAUUUUUAAUGGCGGCAAGUAUACAAAGAAGCUAUUAUGGAUUCACAGCUAUAUAUCAAAGAGAGAAUAAAACUUUUAAUUUUGAAAUCACACCUUUUAUUAUUUUUUCUUUUGUUUUUAAUCAUUAUUCUUUAAUGAUGAUAAUAAUAGGAUUUAAAAAGUAAAUGGGCUGUUAGUAGAUGAACUCUAAUUAGAAAUUAAUUAAAAAAAACGAAGUGAAUUGAAAUAUCUUAUUAACUUCAGGAAAACAAAUCAAACGAGAUUCUGCAAGUAGUGAGAAUGAAAGAGGAAUAGCCUAAUUAAGUAAAAUGGAGUACAUAUCUGUUUGAAUAUAAAGGGGAACCUUCCUCUAAGGCUAAAUAUGAUAUAUAAGCGAUAGUUGGAAGUACCGUGAGGGAAAGGAUUGAAAUAGUAGUUUUAUAAGCAGCUCGAGCGAAAUUUAAAUAAACAAUGAGAGCGUACCUUUUGCAUAAUGGGUCAGCAAGUUAAUAUUAGACGCGAGCAGUUAAGCGAAGAUAAACCAAUUAUGAAAUAAUGAUAUAGUAUCUAAGAUUAGACCCGAAGCCUAGUGAUCUUACCAUGAUCAGGGUUAUAAAAGCCCGGACGGGUUAUCGUUGUAAAGAUAUCCGAUGAAUUGUGGUAUGUUAGUGAAAGAUAAUACUGACUAGGAUAGCUGGUGAUCUGUUUCCGCGAAACCUAUAUAAGUAGGUAAUUUAAAUUACAUCAUAGCAGGUACAGAAUUGUGGUCUCAUAUAGCUAACAUGUUUAUGAAAUAGAUAUGUUAUCUGUAGACAUUGGGGGAUCGUGAAGAUUCUAUCAGUGAGUAUUUGUUCUCGGAAGGGCUAAGAUUAAUAUUAAAUAAUCAGACAUAGUACGCAAAGGUUGUAUGUCUAAAGGGAAACAGCCCAGAACAAGAGUUAAUAAGGUUCCAAAAUUAUUGUUAAGUGAAAUAAAAGUAGUAUUUGUCCCAGACAACCAGGAAAUAGGCUUAGAAGCGGCCAUUUUUUGAAGACCUCGUAGCAGAGCACUGGUUUGUAGACUGUUUAUAUGAUUUACAAGGAUAAAGCACUGAAAAUUUAACGGAUCUAAACAAUAUACCGAAACCUUGUCCAUAUAUAUUUAUAUAUCAUAGUUAUAUAUUGUAUGUAUGGGGUAGCGGAACAUUGGGCUAACCUAAGAUUUUUUCUUUAUAAGACUUAAUAUCAGGUAACCCAAGUGAGAAUGCUGACAUGAGUAACGAUAAAGGGAAUAACUCCCUCGCCUAAAGCUUAUGGUAUUUACUUAAAGUAACGGCCUCUAAGUUUAUGUAGUAGAGUAGUAAAAUAAAGUAACCAAAAUAAAGUAAAUGAAACGACGUUUUUUGUUGCUUCACUAACUUUAUAACGCUGUUUUAGUGUAUUACCUAGUCCUUUAGGAUUAAACGAUGAGCAAAUCUAGAGAGUUUACUGGCAAAUAACAUUUAUGCACUUUAAUAUAUAAUUAUGUAUAACUAGUGUAUAAAGAAGGUGAUAAAUGUUCUGGAAAACUGUAAACUCGACAUGAAACUGCAGAAAUGUAUAGUGUGAGUAGUAGAGAGAAAACACGAAAGGAAUUAAACGUUCCAUCAUGUCUAUAUCAACCGUACCUAAAUACUAUCGCAAGUAAGCAAGUAGAGAAUACGAAGGCGUUCGAGUGAACAAUCAUUAAGGAACUCGGCAAAUUAACUCUGUCGUAACUUAGGGAUAAGGUGGGCCAUUCCACUUGAUUAAUAUCAAGGUUGGAAGAGGAGGCACAGAAUGGUGUUGUACGACUGUUUAAUUAAAACAAAGCAUGCUGCAAAGAAAAAAAAAUUCGAAGUAUAGUGUGUGAACUCUGCCCUAUGACGGCUGGGUAUACUAUUUGCUUAAUUGACUAACAUAGGUUAGGCUUUGAAGGAAACCCCGUUCAAUGGCGGCUUUACAGAUGAGAGUCCUAAGGUAGCGUAAUACCUUGGCCGUUAAAUGCGGUCUUGCAUGAAUGACGUAACGAUACAACAGCUGUCUCGAUGAUUGGCUCGGUGAAAUUGGAAUAACAGUGCAGAUACUGUUUACCUGUAGAUAGACGAGAAGACCCUAUGCAGCUUUACUGUUGCUAGUUAUUGGGUAUGAUAUACCAAGUUUUAGCGUAUAAGGUAGUUGAUUUGACAACAUUGUAACACCUUUACUUAUGGGGAUCAUAUUUAAUUACCACAAGUGGUGGAACAAUUGCUGGGUGGCAGUUUAUGCGCUUAAUCUUGCUUUACUGUUUGACUUACAUGUCUUUCAGUCGCGUAAGCGGGGCAUAUGAUCACAAGAUGCAGAAAGGAAAGGUCUUGGAUUAUUGAAAAAGCUACGCUAGGGAUAACAGGCUAAUUGCGCCAGAGAGUUCAUAUUGAGUGCGCAGUUUGGCACCUCGAUGUCGGCUUAGCUCAUCCACAUGGAUGCAACAACCAUGAAGGGUUCGACUGUUCGUCGAUUAAAGAGUUACACGAGCUGGGUUAAAUACGUCGUGAGACAGUAUGGUUUCUAUCUUCUAGAGGAAAUUAGAAUAAAAUAAGGAUAGCCCCUUGUACGUAAGUAAAUGGGUAUAUUAACCUCUGGUUUACCUGCUGUUUAUGUUCCUAUAUUAAUUUAAAUUAUAAGUUUAUAUAAAAAGUACAUUAUUUUUAAUAUGGCUUAUUUUGGGGUUUUACUUUUCACUAUAGUAAUUUUUAACAUAGGCACGGCAGGAAGGCUAUGUUAGUUAAUGAUAAGAGCUGAAUACAUAUAGGCACGAAACUGACCUUUAGAUAUUCUUAAAUAAACGUAGUUUAAUACUACGAUUUUUGGUCCUUAUAGUUUAAAUAUGAAAAUAUUAAACAAGUAUAAUUUAAUAAAAUUAAUCAGGGUUUAAUAUUUUUAUUAUUUUUACCAUAAAGAUUUUAAUUAAUAGGCUUUAGCUGAUAGAAUUGUGACAUUUUUAGGCACUAAGUACUAAUUUUUUUUUU
rnacentral:rRNA from 1 species